UGGGGAAUUUUGGACAAUGGGCGAAAGCCUGAUCCAGCAAUGCCGCGUGUGUGAAGAAGGCCUUCGGGUUGUAAAGCACUUUUGUCCGGAAAGAAAUCCUUGGCUCUAAUACAGUCGGGGGAUGACGGUACCGGAAGAAUAAGCACCGGCUAACUACGUGCCAGCAGCCGCGGUAAUACGUAGGGUGCAAGCGUUAAUCGGAAUUACUGGGCGUAAAGCGUGCGCAGGCGGUUUGCUAAGACCGAUGUGAAAUCCCCGGGCGUCAACCUGGGAACUGCAUUGGUGACUGGCAGGCUAGAGUAUGGCAGAGGGGGUAGAAUUCCACGUGUAGCAGUGAAAUGCGUAGAGAUGUGGAGGAAUACCGAUGGCGAAGGCAGCCCCC
rnacentral:rRNA from 1 species